rnacentral:rRNA from 1 species
GAUGAACGCUGGCGGCGUGCCUAAUACAUGCAAGUCGAGCGAACGGACGAGAAGCUUGCUUCUCUGAUGUUAGCGGCGGACGGGUGAGUAACACGUGGAUAACCUACCUAUAAGACUGGGAUAACUUCGGGAAACCGGAGCUAAUACCGGAUGACAUUUUGAACCGCAUGGUUCAAAAGUGAAAGACGGUCUUGCUGCCACUUAUAGAUGGAUCCGCGCUGCAUUAGCUAGUUGGUAAGGUAACGGCUUACCAAGGCAACGAUGCAUAGCCGACCUGAGAGGGUGAUCGGCCACACUGGAACUGAGACACGGCCCAGACUCCUACGGGAGGCAGCAGUAGGGAAUCUUCCGCAAUGGGCGAAAGCCUGACGGAGCAACGCCGCGUGAGUGAUGAAGGUCUUCGGAUCGUAAAACUCUGUUAUUAGGGAAGAACAUAUGUGUAAGUAACUGUGCACAUCUUGACGGUACCUAAUCAGAAAGCCACGGCUAACUACGUG